CAAAAUUAAACAUACAUUUAAGAAAAUUAAAAAAAAAAUAAAAUCUUUACGGUUAGAUACAAUUUUGAGCGCUUCAAAAGUUUUUCCUCUGUGGAGGCAAGGUGGAGGCUCUUGCCUAGGUAUUGCAAGGGAGGAAUUUAGGUUACAUUUUCUGUCAGAGGAGCACAUCAGCAUAAGGUAUCCCUAAAGUAGCACUGGGGAGCUAUCCAGCCACAUACCUACUCAUCCACCCACCUACUCACUAUCAUCUAUUCCACCAGCCAACAAACAUUUUUUUUGUUUUUGUUUUUUGAGUGCCCAGCAUGUGGUGUUCCCUGCUGUGUUCCUAAAUUGCAACGAUGAAUGACACGGUUCUCUCUAUUGUAUGUCAACGAGUUGGGGUGGGGUAAAUGGAGGAAAAAUGGCAAAACUUCGAUAACAGUCACAGCUGGGAGAUGAGUACUUGGGGGUUCAUUAUACCAAUUCUCCUGCUUUUUGGUGUCUUUGAUGAUUUUCCUAAUAAAGUUAGAUAGCUGUCCUGUUUCUCAAGAAAGGAAGUUAGAGUUGAUAGAUGCCUUUAUCACAAGGGCAAGUUCAGCUUUGAAGUUACACCCAGGGUAUUAGGAAGAAAGACCCUUGGAGCAGGGUGCAGAAAGUGGUCAAGAAAUGCCUCCUGGUGGAGGGUAACUGUUCUCUACAAGUCCGCACUCACAUUGAGUAAAGACGCCCAAAACCACAGGCCUGCCUUGACCUUAGGCUGAGCGGAGAAGGGCUACGAGAUCGGGGUCAGGAGUGAGAAACUGGCCUCUACCACAUACCAUCCCCUCAUCUACCUUUUCUUCUUUCCGUUUUGCUUCAAGUCAGCUGAGGUAAGUAGCUAUUUGGAUUUUUUGGGCAACACCUGAGCACCCACUAUAUGCCAGGUGCUGUACCAAGGCUUUGGAUUCGAUUCCGCAUAUACCAUUUUAUAGAAGAUGGAACCAGAAGUCCGGAAAUUCCCCAAGGUGUGGGGGACGUGACACAAGCAGGCGAGAGCACUUCAGGAGCCUGGUCCUUCCAACCCCAAGUCGUGGGAAACAGGAUCAGAGACCUUUAAACUGUCAAGAUCCUGGCACGAAGGGAGGGCUCCAUAAAUGGCAGCCAUCAUUCUUGGACAAGUGCCGGCACAUCCUCCGGGCGCGCCUCCCGCGGGGUCCCUCGGGACCGGCCGGGCCCGCCCCCGCGGCUCCGGUCUCGCAGUGCUCGCGGCAGGUGGCCCAGCAUCUCCGUGCCCACGCCCCGAAGCGAGCGGGGAGCGCGGGCGGGUUGGAUGACCAAGGUCUCCCCUGGAGGAUCGCCUCCCUCCCUCCACACGCCCGGCGCAGGUGAGGUUUCCGGCCCAGGCCACGGGGACAGCGACCCCGGGGAGAGGUCGUGGCGGACCGCGCGGCCCACGGCCGGGAGAGGGGUCC
rnacentral:lncRNA from 1 species